UGUAGAGAUAUGAGGUCCUUCCGGGGCACUGGAGACAGGUGGUGCAUGGUUGUCGUCAGCUCGUGUCGUGAGAUGUUGGGUUAAGUCCCGCAACGAGCGCAACCCUUGCCAAUAGUUACUAACGAGUGAAGUCGAGGACUCUAUUGGGACCGCCGGGGACAACUCGGAGGAAGGGGGGGACGACGUCAAAUCAUCGUGCCCCUUACGACCUGGGCUACACACGUGCUACAAUGGCCGAAACAGAGAGCGGCGAAGGAGCGAUCUGGAGCGAAUCUCAAAAAAGCGGUCACAGUUCGGAUUGUGGGCUGCAACCCCCCCACAUGAAGCAGGAGUUGCUAGUAAUCGCGAAUCAUCAUGUCGCGGUGAAUACCUUCCCGGGUCUUGUACACGCCG
rnacentral:rRNA from 1 species